ACAUUAUUCUGCCUGCUGCUACCAUCAAGGACUGGAAUUAAAAGAGUCCAUCUUGAUGCCUGUCUGGACUAUGUUUUUUGUCAUGCUAGAGUUAAUACACAUAUGUCAUUUCAUUUCACAAGGAGGGUUACAUUUUUUUAGAUCUCGUGGCCUGAGCCUGAGGGAAAGCGAGAAUUAAAACAAAUCUCUAAGUCUGUAGAAUUUUUGCACAUUCUUUGGGGGAUUUCCUGUCAAAAAGAUUCAAAAGGACUUAAUUGAUAAUGAAUGUGGCCAUUACAAAAUUGCUUUUCUGAAUGUUGGCAGUGGAUUUUGCCUGACUCUAGAAGUUACAAAAUCAUAUUGCUCUGCACUUUCAGAACAGAGGUAAAUUCCUGACCCGGUCUUGAUGAUCCAAGUCACUCAGUUCCUGGUGCCUUUCUGAAUAGUGUGGGGACUAAUUCUGCUUAGAGUUUCCCAGAUUUCUUUGGAAGCUUUGAAUUUAAAAAUACAUCUUUGAUUAUUAUUAUUAUUGCCUACAUAUAUGUUUAUAUAUUCAUAAAUAUAUAAAUACUAAAUUAUUGCUUAGCAAUACUAAAGAAAAACACUAUCAGCUUAAUAGUGGGAGGGCAUGGGAGGGGCUAAAGGGAAGGGGAACAUGACAUAAUACUAUUUUAAUUAAAAAUUUCCAAAAAUAUCUCAAUCUAAAAAGAAAGGAAUAUGAUAACUUUAUUUAAACACCUGCAUAAAAUGAGCACUUGAGAGGCAGAGACAGGCAGAGUUCUGUGAGGUCAAGGACGGCCUUGUCUAAACAGUGAGUUCUAGGCCAGUCAGGGUUCCUUAAUGAGACCCUGUCUCAGAAGAACAGAACCAAACGUUGUUGAAGUAUUUAAACCCUUUUUUUGACAGUAAUAAUUAUUUUAGCAUACCAGAAUAUGAAGCCAGAUGUUACUACAAGCAUUUCACAUAUGUUAUUUCAUCAACAGCUUUGCACAGUUGUUCACAGGAUCGUUUAAGAACUGGGAUUCAUUAUUCCCUACUUAACGUCAUGCUUCUGUAGACGGUAGCUUGCUUAUCAAUGACGUAAUAGCUAACAUCCGCACCCAGCAAAUACAUACCAUGUUUGUCUUCCUGGUUCUGAGUUACCUCACUCAAGAUGAUUUUGUUUUCUAGUUCCAUCCAUUUGCCUGCAAAAUGACAAGAUUUCAUUUUACACCACUGAGCAGUAUUCCAUUGUAUAAAUGUAGCACCUUUUCUUUAGCCAUUAAUCCACUGAUGGAUAUCUACGUUGUUUCCAGUUUCUGCCUAUCAUGAAUAGCCAGAGCAGCAGUGAACAUGGUCAAGAAACAGUUACUGUACUGGGAUCAAGCAUCCUUUGAGUAUAUGCCCAAGAUUGAUAUAGCUGAAUCUUGAGGUAGAUGAAUUCCAUCUUCCUGAGGAACUGCCACACUGAUUCCCACAAUGGCUGGAAAAGUUUGCACUUCCACUAGCAAUAGAUGCAUGCUUCUCUUACUCAAAGCCUUCUAGAUAUAACACGGACACACAUAGAAACUCACAGAGACUGUGACAGCAUGCACAGGGGUCUUAGAACUGAAAAGAAAAGUGGGUACACACCCCCAUCCUUAACCUGGAAGCUAUCUCCAAUUAAUAGUCACUUGCAAAUGAAAUAUUAGUUUUCUCCAACGGAGUCUCACUGGAGAAACAUGAUUUUUGUUCGCUUGUUUUUGUUUGUUUGUUGUUGUUGACAUUGGUGUUUCUUUUGUUUUUCAUUUCUAAAAUUUAUUCUUCUCUCAUAUAUUACAAGCAGACUGCAGUUUCCCUUCUUUCCCCUCCCCCAGCCUCAUCCUCCCACUUCCCCCUCCCUGAUCCCCCUGCCCUUCACCUCCCCUCAGAAAAGAGAAGGCCUUCCAGGGACAUUAACCACAUAUGGCAUACCAAGGAACAAUAAAACCAGGCACACAUUGUGACAUCAAGGAUGGGCAAGGCAACCCAGUAGGAGGAAAAGGAUUCCAGAAGCAGGCAAAAGAGGCAGAGACAGUCUGUGCUCCCACUGUUAGGAAUCCUACAAGAACAGGGAGCUGUACAACCAUAACAUGCAGAGGGCCUAAGUCAGCCUGUAUAGACAGGCUUCCUGAUCUCUCUGAUAUCCCACAAGUCCUGGUGAAACAAAUCAUUCUUAUGGGUAGGCCACAUGACCUGCAGAAGAUGUCGUCUUUGGAGGUUUUUUCUCUUAUAAUGUCAGGACAUUUUUUAUUUUAUUUAUUGAAUUUUUAAAUUUUUACCCCCCCCCUUUUUUUACCUUAUUGGUCUUUUGAGUAUAUAUUUUGGCUUCAGGUUUUUGGGAUUUUUACGGGAUUUCUGAGUGGGGGGAUGUGUAUGUGUCUCUGUACCUAUUUUGACUUCUUGUACAUUUUGGGAUGAUGCUUUUUCUUAUUUGAUUGUUUUGUCAUAUCCCAAUUUGUUUGGUUUUGAUUGACCUUAUCUUAUUAUAGUCCUUAGAUGCCUGUCUGUUUGCUAACAACAGUCAGAAAGGGUGUGGCUAUGGAUGGAGGUGGGAGAAACUAGGAGUAAGAAGGGAGGGGAAACUGUAAUCAGAAUAUAUCAUAGAAAAAUGUAUUUUCAAUAAAAGAAAAAUGAAUAAAAAAUUAGUGGCCUCAGAGUUUGUAUGCAGUGUAAGUGAUGCUUGAGCAACAAGCAUUCCAUGGUUGGUCCAUCUGGUGUCUAGAAGUUUCUUCUUCCUAGUGCUUUGCUCACUUCCUGCAGCCUGCCUACCCAUCUUUUCAGUCCCUAUACUUGCACUUUGAAAGAACCAGGGAUGUCUGGAUUUCAGUGGACAGAGGGUAUGUUGAAACUUGAUUCUGCCUCCUGGUCAAGUCUUGAAAGCAUUAUGUGACUCAGUUUCCCCGUCUGUACAAUAGGAAUCUGAGCAUCCACUUUAUGCUUUUGUGCUAAGGGUUAAAGAACUGUAUAUGGACGGAAGCUGAGAAUCGCUUUGUAGUUCUUGAUGGCUCUGGCAGAAUUGGUCCAUGUGAGGGGAAAGUGGGGAGCCAUUUUGCAGGAGAGCAUUGGUAGUUAGUGGUGACUAGUGGUUGGUAAUUAACUAUGCUGACUUGUUACAUUAAGGGAAAGGAAGGGCUGGAGAGUGGAACUAUUAUGGCUAAAGCACCACCGAGAGCCUACAGCCCAAUCUGUACAGUGAUUCUUUCUGGAUUUGCCUGGUUUCCUUUUCCGUCCCUUUAAAACAUACUGUAGGGGCUUAGUGAACGUUACACAAAGAAACCACUCUGCUUCGUUCUGUAUUCCCCAAGCUGCCUUAUUGAGAGUCAUUGGCUUACUUCUCACUUCAGGGACAAGGAUGGCCUAGCCAUGUCCUCCUACUUGGGCAGACCAUGUGCUCAACACCACUGCAAAUUCCCUACUGUGACUUCACCUUGCAAGGGAAACUAGUGUUUACUAAUUCACCAAACAUGCAAGAGGUAAUUUAGCAAACCCUCCCCAAACUCAUACAGAUUUGAACGAAUAGUGUGACACUUGAAAAAUUGAACUUUGAUCAAGCACUUGACCACCUCUUUGUCGUUUCGGGGCCUUGGUCAAGUUCCUUAUGCCCUCGCUACACCACCUCAAGCAUCAUGCUCUCAUUUGUAAAAUGGAGGAAUAGCAAAGCUUACCUUAAAAGGGUGUGGUGAGGAUUAGUAAUGCUUUAUAAAGUGCUUGGAGCAGAGUCUGGCAUACAGUGCAAGCUUAAUAAAUGUCAGCCUUAAACAAGACGAAACAAAACACACUGCAGUUCUAUCUGCUUUUAAAGUUUAUAUUCUAUUCACUGAUCCCUGGUGCCUUACCAGGGCCCAGGGAAUUGGAUUCAUACUUGGAAAUGCCAGGCAGGAUAGAAGAUUGUAAGGCAUCUGAAAGUGUGGCCUAGUUAAAAAGCACACACACACACACACACACACACACACACACACGCACACACACACACACACACACACACACACACACACACACACACAGAGCUACUUUUAAUAGCUGGUAAGAGCCCGAGAAAAUCCAAUUACAGAUGGAUCAAUCGAUUAAAAAGAAAGGGGAUAGAAUAAAGGGAAGAAUGUUGGAGAGACAGAGAGCCAAAUUACAGUCAGAUAAUAGAAUUAAGGGUCUGUGGAACAAACUGGGAGAAACAAAGGGCUAGGGCCUGUGGCUCAUUCACGGCUCUGGAAGUGAGUGGAUCAGAAAGAGUUGGAAUCCUGUUUGGCGGAUCAUAUUUUGUGAGGAAAUGAACUGCCACGUGCAGCCUCUAAAAGGCGAGAAUUGUUUUUGGGUUAAAGAGAUGCUCCCGGGGAAGGAUAAAAGUAAAAGACCCACACUCUGCUUUGCGAAGGGGUAACCUUGCUUCCUAAUUGCUUAUUCCCUAAGAAAUCAUGUUUUGGCUCUCAAAAUAACAAAGCACAACCAAACAAAACAGAAAACCAUGUUCCUCUGAUAAGUAGAAUUGUUCUCUUGUAUGCAAACAUCAAAAACAAAACUCACGAGCUUUUAACUUUCUGUGCUAUUUUGGGGUGGGGGAGGGGGUGAUGAAAGGAAGGUGGGGUUGUUAAUCCAGUGACAACCUCUACAGCUGUGUAUAUUAUCAGUAGGUUCUAGAAUAACAUCCGUUUCUAUGUAUUUAUGGAAAGGCGUCCUUAACUAGGCCGCAUCAAGAGCCAGUGCAUCUAUAAAUAAGUGAGGCUACGCGAUAAGGAAGGCUGUCUCUAUCCUAGCCAUUCUAUGCAGCUGUCAUCUUUGUGCCUGGUUUCCCCUGCUCCAUUGUCAAGGCCCCUGCACUGGAGGCUGGGUGGCAUGUGUGAGAAGGGUACACCUUCUUCCCGAAGGCAUCUGGGGACAAGCUCCAUUAUGAAGACUACACUGCUCCAUGGCUGUGAGCUGGCUUUAGUGGGCCUUGAGGUUUACUCUCUGACUAGGCCCUCACAGGUGACUUGCCUGGGGUCACCUCCUGGGAGACAGCUGCACCAGGCUGGGCUUAGGCUGGCCUGGGCUGACAGAUGGUAGUGUUGGGAAGUGAGUGGGAGUGGAACAGAAGGAUAACUAAAUAACCCUGAAUAUGUAAGAUUAAACAGGCCAGGGCUGCAGAUAAUAAUGGGAAUGUUUUGCAAAGCUUGGCCUUUAGAAAGCUGCCGACAAACCCUCCCACCAGUCUACUCUCUGUGGACAGGUGUGAAGGCUACCAAAUUAUCCUUGUAAGUAUUUUCCUGUGCAUGUGGAUGAAAACUUAAAUAUAAGUUAUAGAAAAUAAUAAAAAUAGAGAAUAACAUUAAAAUAACUAAUAUUAAAAGUAAAUCUUUUCAUUACUGAGGAUGUGGCAAAGCCUCUCUUUGGAUUGGCAAUCACUUUUGGAUUUUUGUGAGGCUCUUAUCUUGAAAAAAAAAAAGCCCUAAAAAUAGGGUUCCUGAACUUACAACAGCAGCUUCUCCUGUUUAUCAGAUAAACCUCAGUGCCACAAACCAUCGAAACAGUACCUGUGGUGCCCUGGUACAAGAUAUGCCCUGGUAGAUCCUGGGUGCAUUCUAUUGUAAAAGCUCUGACCAGUACUGCAGGUUCUUAGACCUGGGAGCUGUGGGUUGACUUCUAUCUCUAAGAUUCUGGUGAAGUAGGGUGUGAGAGCAAGGCCUGAAAUCCUGCCUAUGGACAAGGCUGAGUUGGGAAGAUUGCAAGUUCAAAGCCAGCCUGGACAAUUUAGUAUGCCCCUAUUUAAAAAUGAAUGGCCCAGGGGUUGGGGAUUUAAGGCCCUGGGUUCGGUCCCCAGCUCCAGAAAAAAAAAAAAAAAAAAAAAGAAAAAAUGAAUGGCCCAAAGAAGAAAGGAGAUUAACUCAGUGGCAGAGUACUUGCCUACCGUACACUGGUCUCAAUCUUCAGACCAUCAUACACACACACACACACACACACACACACACACACACACACACACACAC